AAUCACACGAUGGUUUAUCUCACAGGGGGCAAAAAGAACGAGAACAAUCACAUUAUGGAAUGCUGAAACAGGGAAUGCCAAAAUAAAUGCUACGCCGGAGGAUAAGCGUGGAACAGAUUUUGGAUUCUGGGCUUGUGAACAACAGAAGCAACGGGUGUCCUCGGUAACAUUGAACAUCUCAAUCAGAUGAUACAGCUCGUUAAACCCGCAGCGGUGGUCAGCCGCUGGUGAGUUCCUCCCUCCUCCGCUCUGCCGCGUGUCCUCGGUGCCCCUCCCGCUCGGCGCGCGUCUCAAGCAGGCGCAGCCCACCUUCGGCGUGCCCCAUUCCCAUGCUCUCUCCCUGUGCGCCAUACCCUGCCCCUGAGGCCCUGACCCGCUCCCUGAGGCAUCCGGGCGCCUACCGGCCUCCUGUCGUUCGCCUGCUGCCUGCGCGCACGCAACGGCUGCCGCAGAGCAGCGCGUGCGCGCUCCCGUCCCGGCCACGGUGCUCCGUCCGCCCCCUGCCCACCGCGCGUCGAACCUGCCGCUCCUGCGAGGCGGCGCGGGCGCUCCCUUCCUGAGGCCUUUGGAUUACUGUGAGCAAUCAAUUCCUAAUCCUUUUGAGAUUGGUGUGCAGUGGAAAUCCAUCUGGUCAUGGGAUUGAUUCCUUUUAUUACUCUCGGGGGAGCAGGCAAGGAACAAUCCUUACAGCUACGUCUACCUGUCCCAAUCGAAUGGCAGUUCACUGAGUACAGGCUCUAGAGUAGUGAAUGUGGUGAAAACAGUCUUGCCAAGACUGUUGCAAGAACAUAGAGAAAGCUGGUCAUAGGAUGGUUGUACCUCAUGCGAAUCAGGCUUGAUGCUGUCGUUCUCUCCCGAUAUAAAGCAAAGGUCGGUGAAAUUUUAGUUCUUCUUCUUAUUCUUCACAAGUUGCUCCUCCUCUUUCAAGCUCACAUCCUCGUUUGAGGAAAUGUCAAUGUCGCUGAGCGCCGCCACAAAAGCUCGUGAAGCCACCUUGGUUGCCUUUUGGCCAUCUUGUCACAGUUCUUAAAGAAGGAAUUAUUGUUCUUCUGGUACUUGUCAUGGUCGUGGUUGUGAUCUUCCUUCUUCUUGAGCUUGGGGCAGUCCUGCUUGAAAUGAGUGGUGACCACACUCAUAACAAGCAGAGAAUCACAUCUCCUCUAGUCUCAUCGGUUGUUGUAGAAGCGGGUGAACUUCUUCACAAUCAACGCUAGAUUUUCAUCAUCAAGUGCAUCCACCUGCUCUUCUGUAAUAGAGAUCAAGGAAGAAAAAACAAAUCUACCAGGUGAAGGGUUAGCACAAGAAAAAUAAACUCAUGCAUGACUGUCACUACUAGAUCAUGAAACCAUGUGAUAGGGGUUUCAUAGAUCUAACCUAGGCACGUGACUAUUUCUAUGAACUUAAACUUAUUGAAGAGUUCAUUACAAGUCAAGGUAUCAUAACUAGAUGACUCUUGAAUGCUAAAGAUCUUCAUUUUUUAAAUACUACGAUCAAGAGUAUAGAGAAGCUUAAUCGCUCUCUAAUGAUCAGAAUAAGAUAAAACCUCAGUGGAUUUAAGAUUGUUAACAAUUCUGCCUAACCGUUGUCGCCAGCCUACCACGACGCCAAGCCACCACCGCCUAGGCAUCCCUAGCGCCUAGCUACCUGUCGCCAGAGCACUAGACGUCGCCAGCCCAGCCCACACACAUGUCGAUGGUAAAGAAGGAGCUGAGGUAGAAGGGCACGACCAUGCUCAGUGCGCUGGGGAUGUAUUCUACAGGCACCACCGAUGGUGCUUGGCCACCUCCUUGAGCGCGCAUAUGGCGAUGACGAAGAAGGCGAGGCAGAAGUGGAGAUAUUUGCGUACGGCGCCGAGUAACCCUUCUGAUCUGAAAUUCAGUGAUACCGAAAACUAAAACUUGAAAACCGAAACCGAACUAGGCGGUGUUUUCAAUAUUUUCCAUCAUCUUCAGUUUGCACAUUCUGAAAACUAAAUUGUUCCUACACCGAAAAUACCAAACCAAAAACACCGAAUGCCCAACCUACUGAAUCUAGACGGACGAGAGUGAGAGAGCAAGAAGCUUGACGUGCCGCAUGGCCUCAACAGCACGUCACUCCAUGUAUUUCACCCUUCUCUUUAACGCCCAUCCAACCGGCCGACAGGGUAUCUGCAUGCUACCAAGCUCCUCAGCUGAUCCUGACAAGCAGCCACAUCGAUGCAGAGUUGUUGUGAAACCUAGAAGGCAAACCUAGAGUCGUCCUCAGACCUCAGGUAACGAGGAGCUAGCGUAUCAGAAAAGAAAACGACUAACGAGGAAGAGCGCAUCACGGCAUGCACAUGGGGGCGGCAGGGAUAUAUGUACGUCGAUGGCUCCAGCAGAGCACGGUUAAAUUAAACCUGCUGCUAAUUUGCGUACAGAUCCGGUUCCUUUCGUCAACGGAUGCGCGCGCCUCUGGCAAAGUACCAGAUCCCAGUGAUCCUCUAUAUAUAUUUUCCUCUAAGACUCCAAGCAUUGACUUGUAUAAAGUACUACGAUCUGGAUAAUUAAGCAGAAACUUGUGUACAGUUGCUACCUCAGAAGGUUGGACCUAGGGCGAGAAUUGCAUUUCCCCAUGAUUCAUCCGGAGUUUUGCACUUCAAUUUGGUUGUCCUUUCAGAAAGCAUCAGCGCAGCUUUGCGGUAUGCCUGUGUUACGUGAUGAGUUCACUAGCGAGGCCACAUCAACUCGUGCGCCUGCACGGCUAGCAGUAAGUUCUCGAAAGAAUUGGCUAUAUGUAUGGAUUCAAUUAGAAUAUGAAAUGGUAGAUGGUAUAUUUUCCUAUUUCCACUUUUAUGAUUUGCAAAUAUAUAUACAAAAUUUAUUUUCAUUAUUAGAAAAUAUUUUUUUCUACAAUGGAGAUGAGUAAAUAGAUAGUAUAUCUACCAUAUAAAAUACGAGUUGAUUCAUCGUCAUCUCUCUCCUUCCAUCCAUACUAUCUAAUAAAAAAUAAUAAAAAACCAUGUCAAAAAUAAAUUAGAAAAACUGGACCUCUUUUAGCAGGCCAUGCUCUCAACCCCUUGCCCAAAUCACAAUAUGUGCCGCCCCUCUCUCUCUCCCCUCAUUUCUCGGAUCCAACCUAGAAGCGUCCACGCCGCCCAUGCCCCGGGGGACAAGCCACGGGGCCUGCUCCCUCUCUGUCUGUUCAACGCCGAGACAUGACCAGGAGGAUGGGUGGGAGGAGUGAGGACUAGCCGGGCCGCCGCCAACUCCUUCUGUUCUAGUGGAUAGCGUCUUGUGGAUUUGAAGGACCUCAUCACCGGCCUCUACAGAUCUCAGCGACUCAGCCGUCCUCGGCCGCCAGCGUUGCAAACAUGAGUACGCAAGAGGAGGCAAUGGAUGACGACCCUUUUUUUGUAUGGCUAAGUUACUUGCCUAUGAGUUCACGAAAAAGGCUUACUCCCCUUCCAGAUCUGACAUGGCAUUGAAAUUUCCGGUAAACUCCUGCGUUAGUGCAUUUGUAUAUUACCCGGAUAAAAUCGCUAGAUGCUGCUGCAUUUGUGCAGCUAAACUUUUGAAAUCAAGUUAUCAACAUUUUUGUUUACUAGUAAUCAAAGUGUCCAGAAUUUUGAUGUGAACGCAACUAAUAGAUCUCGGUUUUUGUUCACGGAUAGAGUUACUUUCUAUCACGUAAUUGUUUGUUAUUGAUUCAUACGAAGGCUUAUCUAAGGGUAUAUGCUGCUUGGAGGGAUUAUUCAUGUACUGUUUUACUGAUGUUUUAAGUCUCCACGAAUCGUCAAUGCUUUUGCUAUCAAUAUCGGGAGGUGUUUCUUACUAUCAGUUCUUAUUACUAUAGAAAGUGCUUUUACUGUUGGCUCUAAAACCACAUUCACACCCGGUUUUAGAGCCAGCAAUGUGUAAUAUGCGGUGAUAGUUGGAUUAUCACUGCCGACUUAGAGACCAGUAGUAAAUGAGUUAUCACUACCGGCUGAAGACGGUUGAAGCCUUCAGCAGUAAAUGAGUCACGUGAUUUUUCGCGUGAAAUACGCAC